UAGUAAAAACCAGGCUCAGCCACAAAUAACACCUCUGUGGCAGAGGAUAUCGCUGUCUGGAAAGCUGUGAUGUACCCAAGAUCAUCCAACAAAGGAAGAGCCAAGCCAGCUGGUACCAAGUGGAGAUGGGGGUCAGAUACACUUGGCGGGUCACCUCUUCACCUUCUCUUCCAAGCCUUGCCAACUCCAGUUCCUCCUGGAGUUCUCAUACCUACUGGCUGGUACCCGGCUGGCUGUGGGUCAUCAGGAGAAAGCAGGCUGUGGAGACAGUGAGCCCUGACCACCCUCCCUUCCGGCUGGCUGUGGGUCAUCAGGAGAAAGCGGGCUGUGGAGACAGUGAGCCCUGACCACCCUCCCUCCAUGCUCAGGCGUCACCCAGUGUUUCCUAACUUGAACCCACCAGGCCGUCCCCACAGAGCAGGGGACACCGGGGAUGAUGGGAUUCCUGUUCUACUGUUUCACCUACACAGAUGCCUAUGGAGGGAAGUCAGGCAAAAGGCCACCGUGAAGAAGACACUGCCUGAAAGGGAAAAAAAAAUGAAUUCACUUACUUCAAAGUGACCCGAAGCCCUGUAACAGUCCAUCUGCUGCGGGAUGAUCUUUCUGUAUGCUGUGAAUUUGUGUUACUCUCAUUGGUUAAUAAUAAAGCUGUUUGGCCAAU